GGCUGGAAGGCUGCCGCCUCCAUCUUCCUCGAUCUCCCUCAUCAGAACACACACAAAUUACUCCACCCUUCUCCAGCCGAAACCCGCCGCCACGUCUCUCUCUCUCUCCGGCGAAGCAGCGGAGUUCGCCGCAGACCCGACGCUCGUUUCCUCUCGCUGAACAGAUCCGACACCCCAUUUCCCAACUCUCUCUCUGCUCACCACCCAGAUCCGCCUCUCUCUCUACUCCCUCGAAUCUCCUCCGACCGUGGCCGAGCAGCAGCGGCACUACCGCCGUGCCCUGCCUCCCACCUCUCAUCUCUUUGUCACCGACAGCAGCCACGGCAAUAGCAGUAGCUGAUCGGCCCACCACCUCCCUUUCUCUCUCUGGAUCGACGGGCAGCAGCUAAGCCGCCUUACCCUCCCUUUUUCUGAACUCCGGCGACCAGGAAAGGUCCGCCUUGUUGUUGCCCUCCGGAGUCGGUGGGUUCGAGCCGUGCUCUGCCGCUGCUGGGUUCUGGAGGAGGAGGGUACGCCGCCUGCUGCUGUUACUGGAAGGCCGGCUUCGCCGUGCCGCUGCACUCCAGAAUCGGCGAGAUUCGCCGCUGAGGUCGGGAGUCUUCUACCUUUCACCGCUCGACGCCGCCGCCUGGGAGCCGUUCAGUCCUCCUCCCUCUCAGAAGCUAAGUUCCCUACUCUCACUUUACAACUACUGCGUAUGAAUUUUCUGAGGUACCUUAAUGUACAUGGUUUAUCAGUUGUGAGAUGGUAAAGCUAUGGUGUGAAGGUCAAAAUCUGUUAAAUGCUAUAUGUUGCUGGUUCUUCAUGCUGCUAUGUUCAUUCUCACAUAUUGGUUUUGUUUGUCUAUCAUGCUUGGAUGCAGAAAAUGUGUGAUGGAAUACAGUAUAUGGGGCUAGGUAAAUACCUUAAAAUGUGUAGUUGGCUAUUGUGGUUGAGCUAG
rnacentral:lncRNA from 1 species